GCGAUCUUUCUACUCGUGGUGGCGUUAGGCUUUUCGGGAGGACACUCCCACACUUUCUGAGGGCAUGGACGACGAUGACCUAGAGACCAAGCCUCGCCCUAGAGACAAGGCCUCGCCCUUCUUCGAGUAGGGGUAGGUGGAUUCCACCACCGUGGACACCUGACGAGUUGGUUUUCUGCCGUGAGAACCACGUUUCUCACCGUCCACUUGCCGGCAUAGUCGAUGGCACGCUUCGCCAUCAUGGAUCUUGAGGUGGAGAUUUGGUUCCCCGGCUAUAUGAUAACGAGGGAACCUGUUACAAACACCUUGUGGGAGUCUGCUGGUUUAGGAGAUUUCUAUUCGACGGUCGUUGGAUUUUGUAGCCAUCGAGGUUGUGGCCCGACAGUAGUUCGUGUGUUGUUGGAGUAUUUUUGGGAUACUACCAACACUUUUCACUUUGCUUGGGGGUAGAUGACAGUGACUGCCCUGGAUUUUAGCAUGAUAAGCGCCUUACGCUACACCGAGUAGGUCGUACGGCAGAUUCCUAACCUCACUUGGGGGGCGGCUGAGGUAGCAGAUUUAUUAGGUUCGGUCGUUUAGCAUAUUAGGAAUCAGCCGGUGCCUUGAGGUUGUCAUAAGAGUGGGCGUUCAGAGCUGGCUUCUAUUCUGGCCCGUGGCUUUGACAUGGAUGAGACAUCACCUAAGCAGCGAGUGCGGAUCUUCAUUUUCUACCUUCCUUUUUUAUUCAGGAUCAGCAAGAUAGGAUCAUGUAGUUGGGCCAGCCUUGGAUACCACCGAUCUUCUCUCGUCGCUACAACAUGGAUGUAGGCAGCUGAAUGACAAGGCCCCUGUCACUGUCUACGGUUUAUGGAGAGUCGUAGAGUUGUGGUUCUAUGAGUACUUUCCGAGAUUGGCCCCUCAACGGCGUUGCGGAGUGGUCCAUGAUUUCCUUGGCGGAGCUAGCUGGCGUGACCGAGGUGAGUCACGAGUGGAGUCCGUCUCUACGCUGCGCGGGCUGCUGCGCCGAGGCACCUCUUCUUUUGGUGUUGUUGUUGAGAUCCAGUAGCAGCCUUGGGCUGGGAUGAAUGAUCUUCCUGAGGCCCUACAGCUUUUCGCGUACCGUAUUGUUUUUGUUGGUACUAGACGCUUUUCCUGGUAUCUUGGGGAGCGCGUUAUUCGUCAGCACAUUGCUGAUCGUUUUGUGGUGCCUUUGCCUCCGCUGGAGUCGAUGUUAGACUCACGUUUGCUUAGGGAGUUGAUAAACAGGGGAGAGCGCUACAAUUUUCCUUGGCAGGUUCUUGUGCUUAUGGAGGGCGAUUAUUCGCAGGACUUGCUUUCUUCUUUGGCUCCUCCACCCCGUCUUCCCGAGACGACUGUUCGUCGUGUGGGGAAGAUUAAGUUCUCGCCUCAAUCUGUCCAUUACGCGGGGCCGAUCGGUAUUACUGAGGAUGAUAUUGCUGACGCGCCAGAGGGUUUCUGAUAGGCACAGGAGUCUGUGCCUUACAAGUUUGAGUUGCUAGUUGACACUUUGAAGUAUUGCAUCAUCAAGCUUCGAUGUGGCGGGAUUUAUCGAGGCGGUUCUAGCGAUGUUCUCAAGGAGCAAUGGAGGUCUCGCUCGCGCUCAAGGCACAGAGGCUCGAACGACGAGGAGCCUAGUCGCGACAGACAAUCUGCUGAGGUUCGUCGGCAUUCUCAGCCUCUGCCUUCUCAGCUGUUUUAGGAGGCUCAGUGGCAGCACUCUCAGCCUUCUCAGCCAUUCUAGCAUUUUCAGGGUCAGUGGCAGUGGCCUUCAUCUUCCCAGCCUUCACAGCCUAAGUUCAGGCCAGUCAUUACCUCUGCGGACAAGGGUUUAUACUCAAUUCCAUUGUGUGAGGCACUUCGUCCAUCGGUGUAGGGCUUAUUUUCAUUUCCAUUGUCUGGGACGAUGCCUCCACCGACGCUUCCUACCUAUUGGAGUUAUUCUACGCCGUUUGCCAGUUGGACAUGUCUUGCUUUGAGUUUGUCUGCUAAUGGAGCUAUAGGGACUAGUAGAGAUACUACUCCUCGUACCCGGAUGACGGAGGGACUCUUUGGUCCAGCGUUCCCGUAUUCUCAGGCUGAAGAUGCCUUGAUCCUCCCUCUUCUAGCUCUACAGAUUGUUGACCAAGGGUUUUUAUUUUGUACUUUGGUUGAUGACACUUGACAUUGUUUAUGCAUCAUGAUUCACUUUGUAUAUUUUAUUUCACAAUUUAUGCAUUUUUUUUGUGUGUAUUAGUGCGUGCUUGAGACUCAUU